CCUACGGGAGGCUGCAGUGAGGAAUAUUGGUCAAUGGGCGAGAGCCUGAACCAGCCAAGCCGCGUGAGUGAAGAAGUAUUUCUGUAUGUAAAGCUCUAUCAGCAGGGAAGAAAAUGACGGUACCUGAUUAAGAAGCCCCGGCUAACUACGUGCCAGCAGCCGCGGUAAUACGUAGGGGGCAAGCGUUAUCCGGAUUUACUGGGUGUAAAGGGAGCGUAGACGGCAGCACAAGUCUGGAGUGAAAUGCCGGGGAUUAACCCCGGAACUGCUUUGGAAACUGUGCAGCUAGAGUGCAGGAGAGGUAAGUGGAAUUCCUAGUGUAGCGGUGAAAUGCGUAGAUAUUAGGAGGAACACCAGUGGCGAAGGCGGCUUACUGGACUGUAACUGACGUUGAGGCUCGAAAGCGUGGGGAGCAAACAGGAUUAGAUACCCUAGUAGUC
rnacentral:rRNA from 1 species